AGCGUUGAAAAACCGGUAUCCGUACGAUCACCGAAGUUAAGCAACAUCAAGCGAGGUCAAUACCUAGAUAGGUGACCGCUUGGGAAUACAAGGUGCUGUA